CGUACGGGAGGCAGCAGUGGGGAAUAUUGCACAAUGGGCGAAAGCCUGAUGCAGCGACGCCGCGUGGGGGAUGACGGUCUUCGGAUUGUAAACCCCUUUCAGUAGGGACGAAGCGCAAGUGACGGUACCUGCAG
rnacentral:rRNA from 1 species